rnacentral:rRNA from 1 species
AGCGAACGCUGGCGGCAGGCCUAACACAUGCAAGUCGAACGAAGUCUUCGGACUUAGUGGCGGACGGGUGGGUAACACGUGGGAACGUGCCUUUAGGUUCGGAGUAACUCAGGGAAACUUGUGCUAAUACCGAAUGUGCCCUUCGGGGGAAAGAUUUAUCGCCAGAGGAUCGGCCCGCGUUAGAUUAGCUUGUUGGUGAGGUAAUGGCUCACCAAGGCUACGAUCUAUAGCUGGUCUGAGAGGAUGAUCAGCCACACUGGGACUGAGACACGGCCCAGACUCUUACGGGAGGCAGCAGUGGGGAAUCUUGGACAAUGGGCGAAAGCCUGAUCCAGCCAUGCCGCGUGAAUGAUGAAGGCCCUAGGGUUGUAAAAUUCUUUCGACGGGGAAGAUAAUGACGGUACCCGUAGAAGAAGCUCCGGCUAACUUCGUGCCAGCAGCCGCAGUAACAC